rnacentral:tRNA from 1 species
UCUAAUAUGGCAGAAAUUAUGCAAUGAACUUAAGAUUCAUCAAUAAAGAAUAAUCUUUUAUUAGAA